UACGUAGGGUGCGAGCGUUGUCCGGAAUUAUUGGGCGUAAAGAGCGCGCAGGCGGUCGAUCAAGUCGAGUGUGAAAGCCCCCGGCUCAACUGGGGAGGGUCAUUCGAUACUGAUCGACUCGAAGGCAGGAGAGGGUAGUGGAAUUCCCGGUGUAGUGGUGAAAUGCGUAGAUAUCUGGAGGAACACCGGUGGCGAAGGCGGCAUCCUGGACCAACACUGACACUGAGUGAGCGAAAGCCAGGGGAGCAAACGGG
rnacentral:rRNA from 1 species